UGCAGAGGAGCCAAGCGUUGUCCGGAUUGACUGGGCGUAAAGCGCACGCAGGCGGUUGCGCGCGUGGGGUGUGAAAUCUGGCCGCUUAACGGCCAGGCGCCAUCCCAUACGGCGCGACUGGAGUGAUGCAGAGGUCGAUGGAAUUGCCGGUGUAGUGGUGAAAUGCGUAGAGAUCGGCAGGAACACCCAGGGGGAAACCAGUCGACUGGGCAUCUACUGACGCUGAGGUGCGAGAGCGUGGGGAGCGAACCGG
rnacentral:rRNA from 1 species